CACACUAACUCUCACAUACCUGUGGUGCUUAUGAAUUAUUGGCCUCCUACUUGUGAAAGAAAUCUAACACUGUCCUCACCACUUACAGAAGAAAAGAGACUGAACUGAGGAAGAGUGGAAAAAUAAUGAUAAUAUUUCUUUCUUGAAUAAGAAAAAGGUUUUGCCUGUAAUAAAUUCACUAUGCAAGACGUACA
rnacentral:lncRNA from 1 species